rnacentral:rRNA from 1 species
CGGCCCAGACUCCUACGGGAGGCAGCAGUGGGGAAUAUUGCACAAUGGGGGAAACCCUGAUGCAGCGACGCCGCGUGGAGGAAGAAGGUCUUCGGAUUGUAAACUCCUGUUGUUGAGGAAGAUAAUGACGGUACUCAACAAGGAAGUGACGGCUAACUACGUGCCAGCAGCCGCGGUAAAACGUAGGUCACAAGCGUUGUCCGGAAUUACUGGGUGUAAAGGGAGCGCAGGCGGGAGAACAAGUUGGAAGUGAAAUCCAUGGGCUCAACCCAUGAACUGCUUUCAAAACUGUUUUUCUUGAGUAGUGCAGAGGUAGGCGGAAUUCCCGGUGUAGCGGUGGAAUGCGUAGAUAUCGGGAGGAACACCAGUGGCGAAGGCGGCCUACUGGGCACCAACUGACGCUGAGGCUCGAAAGUGUGGGUAGCAAACAGGAUUAGAUACCCUGGUAGUCCACACCGUAAACGAUGAUUACUAGGUGUUGGAGGAUUGACCCCUUCAGUGCCGCAGUUAACACAAUAAGUAAUCCACCUGGGGAGUACGACCGCAAGGUUGAAACUCAAAGGAAUUGACGGGGGCCCGCACAAGCAGUGGAGUAUGUGGUUUAAUUCGAAGCAACGCGAAGAACCUUACCAGGUCUUGACAUCGAGUGACGAAUCUAGAGAUAGAUUUUUCCUUCGGGACACAAAGACAGGUGGUGCAUGGUUGUCGUCAGCUCGUGUCGUGAGAUGUUGGGUUAAGUCCCGCAACGAGCGCAACCCUUGCUAUUAGUUGCUACGCAAGAGCACUCUAAUAGGACUGCCGUUGACAAAACGGAGGAAGGUGGGGACGACGUCAAAUCAUCAUGCCCCUUAUGACCUGGGCUACACACGUACUACAAUGGAUGUAAACAGAGGGAAGCAAAAUAGCGAUAUGGAGCAAACCCCUAAAAGCAUUCUCAGUUCAGAUUGCAGGCUGCAACUCGCCUGUAUGAAGUUGGAAUUGCUAGUAAUCGCGGAUCAGCAUGCCGCGGUGAAUACGUUCCCGGGCCUUGUACACACCGCCCGUCACACCAUG